AAAAUUCGAUUGAUAAUUUGAUAUAAUUGCUAUGCUUAGUGUGUGACUCGUUGGUUUUUUAGGUUCAGGAUUAAAAAAAAGGACUGACUCAUACUAUGAACUAAUAAGUAUAAAUAUACAACUAAUAACCAAAAAACUCUUCCCCCUUAGUUUUUGUAGAUAUUGAGUUUGUACGGUAAUUCAACUUUGAGUAUGGAAUUUACUUUGUUGGUUGAUUGGAGUUACGGUAGUUCAAUCUAUAAAGGAAG
rnacentral:lncRNA from 1 species